rnacentral:rRNA from 1 species
UGCAGUCGACGGCAGCAUAGGAGCUUGCUCCUGAUGGCGAGUGGCGAACGGGUGAGUAAUAUAUCGGAACGUACCCUAGAGUGGGGGAUAACGCAGCGAAAGUUGCGCUAAUACCGCAUACGAUCUACGGAUGAAAGUGGGGGAUCGCAAGACCUCAUGCUCAUGGAGCGGCCGAUAUCUGAUUAGCUAGUUGGUGGGGUAAAAGCCUACCAAGGCAUCGAUCAGUAGCUGGUCUGAGAGGACGACCAGCCACACUGGAACUGAGACACGGUCCAGACUCCUACGGGAGGCAGCAGUGGGGAAUUUUGGACAAUGGGGGCAACCCUGAUCCAGCAAUGCCGCGUGAGUGAAGAAGGCCUUCGGGUUGUAAAGCUCUUUUGUCAGGGAAGAAACGGUGAGCUCUAAUACAGUUUGCUAAUGACGGUACCUGAAGAAUAAGCACCGGCUAACUACGUGCCAGCAGCCGCGGUAAUACGUAGGGUGCAAGCGUUAAUCGGAAUUACUGGGCGUAAAGCGUGCGCAGGCGGUUAUGUAAGUCAGAUGUGAAAUCCCCGGGCUCAACCUGGGAAUGGCAUUUGAGACUGCAUGGCUAGAGUGUGUCAGAGGGGGGUAGAAUUCCACGUGUAGCAGUGAAAUGCGUAGAGAUGUGGAGGAAUACCGAUGGCGAAGGCAGCCCCCUGGGAUAACACUGACGCUCAUGCACGAAAGCGUGGGGAGCAAACAGGAUUAGAUACCCUGGUAGUCCACGCCCUAAACGAUGUCUACUAGUUGUCGGGACUUAAUUGUCUUGGUAACGCAGCUAACGCGUGAAGUAGACCGCCUGGGGAGUACGGUCGCAAGAUUAAAAC